UACGUAGGGAGCAAGCGUUGUCCGGGAUCAUUGGGCGUAAAGCGCGCGUAGGUGGCCCGGUAAGUCCGCUCUGAAAGUCACAGGCUCAACCUGUGAAAGCGGGUGGAUACUGCCGGGCUAGAGUCCGGAAGAGGCGAGUGGAAUUCCUGGUGUAGCGGUGGAACGCGCAGAUAUCAGGAGGAACACCAACGGCGAAGGCAGCUCGCUGGGACGGUACUGACACUGAGGCGCGAAAGCGUGGGGAGCGAACAGG
rnacentral:rRNA from 1 species